GCAUAUCAAUAAGCGGAGGAAAAGAAACCAACAGGGAUUGCCCCAGUAACGGCGAGUGAAGCGGCAACAGCUCAAAUUUGAAAUCUGGCUCUCGGGCCCGAGUUGUAAUUUGUAGAGGAUGCUUUUGGUGAGGUGCCUUCCGAGUUCCCUGGAACGGGACGCCACAGAGGGUGAGAGCCCCGUCUGGUUGGACACCGAGCCUCUGUAAAGCUCCUUCGACGAGUCGAGUAGUUUGGGAAUGCUGCUCUAAAUGGGAGGUAUAUGUCUUCUAAAGCUAAAUACCGGCCAGAGACCGAUAGCGCACAAGUAGAGUGAUCGAAAGAUGAAAAGAACUUUGAAAAGAGAGUUAAACAGUACGUGAAAUUGUUGAAAGGGAAGCGCUUGUGACCAGACUUGGGCUUGGUUGAUCAUCCGGGGUUCUCCCCGGUGCACUCUUCCGGCUCAGGCCAGCAUCAGUUCGCCCUGGGGGAUAAAGGCAGCGGGAAUGUGGCUCUCUCCGGGGAGUGUUAUAGCCCGCUGCGUAAUACCCUGUGGCGGACUGAGGUUCGCGCAUUCGCAAGGAUGCUGGCGUAAUGGUCAUCAGUGACCCGUCUUGAAACACGGACC
rnacentral:rRNA from 1 species